GAUGAACGCUGACAGAAUGCUUAACACAUGCAAGUCGAUGGGGAAGUGGUGCUUGCACCAUGGUAACCAUGGCGGACGGGUGAGUAACGCGUAAGGAACUUGCCUGCGGGACUGGGAUAACAGCAGGAAACUGCUGAUAAUACCGGAUAAGGUCAUUAAGCUGCAUAGCUUAGUGAUGAAAGGAGACGCCUGCGGAGAGCCUUGCGUCCUAUUAGCUAGUUGGAGGGGUAACGGCCCACCAAGGCGAAGAUAGGUAGCCGGCCUGAGAGGGUGGACGGCCACAAGGGGACUGAGAUACGGCCCCUACUCCUACGGGAGGCGGCAGUGGGGAAUAUUGGACAAUGGGGGCAACCCUGAUCCAGCAAUUCUGUGUGCACGAAGACGGUUUUCGGAUUGUAAAGUGCUUUCAGCAGGGAAGAAGGAAGUGACGGUACCUGCAGAAGAAGCGACGGCUAAAUACGUG
rnacentral:rRNA from 1 species